rnacentral:tRNA from 1 species
GGUUCUGUGGUCUAGUGGUAUGAUUCUUGCUUUGGGACCACCAAAAUUGCAAGAGGCCCCGGGUUCGAACCCCGGCAGGACCC